rnacentral:rRNA from 1 species
UACGUAGGGUGCGAGCGUUGUCCGGAAUUAUUGGGCGUAAAGAGCUCGUAGGCGGUGUGUCACGUCGGCCGUGAAAACCUGCAGCUUAACUGUGGGCGUGCGGUCGAUACGGGCAUCACUGGAGUUCGGCAGGGGAGACUGGAAUUCCCGGUGUAGUGGUGGAAUGCGUAGAGAUCGGGAGGAACACCAGUGGCGAAGGCGGCUCACUGGGCCGGACCUGACGCUGAGGCGCGAAAGCGUGGGGAGCGAGUCCGG